ensembl:lncRNA
UUUUUUUUUUUUUUUUUGAGACAGAGUCUCGCUCUGUGGCGCAGGCUGGAGUGCAGUGGCCGGAUCUCAGCUCACUGCAAGCUCCGCCUCCCGGGUUUACGCCAUUCUCCUGCCUCAGCCUCCUGAGUAGCUGGGACUACAAGCGCCUGCCACCUCGCCCGGCUAGUUUUUUUGUACUUUUUAGUAGAGACGGGGUUUCACUGUGUUAGCCAGGAUGGUCUCGAUCUCCUGACCUCGUGAUCCGCCCGUCUCGGCCUCCCAAAGUGCUGGGAUUACAGGCUUGAGCCACCGCGCCCGGCCAAGCUUAAUUUUUUUAGUUGGCUAAAAAAAAUCAGAAUAUACACAUUUUACAAACUCUUCUGCUGUCCUAAUCUAAUUAUUCAUUAUUCAUGUAUUACAAUUAUAAUCUGAAUAUUUUCUUAGGAGCACAGGACACCUUUCAAACUUCCAAUGGUGUUUCUGGAACAUUUGGUUUGAUGAUUAUCACUACUAUUUAAAUCUUUUAUUGCUUCCUACAAUCUUCUCUAAAUUAUUUGAAGGCAAUGACCAUGACUUACUAAUUUUAUAUUCUUAACUUCUGAAACAAACACACAAUGGCCAUGAAAUUUAGAAUGAAUAUCAUAUCAAUUAUCAAUGUUAGGUAUAAACUAGACUUAACAUUUUCAAUAAAUGGCUGACUUUGAACUAGUUAUCUAUAUUUGAUUAUGUUUAAGAUCAAUCCAUUUAAUGAUAUCCCUUCCAAAGCAUUAACAGGUUGAUCGAGAUGUUACUGUACUUUCUGAAAAGAAAAGAAAGUUAAUUACUUUUAUAAUACUUCUUAAGGACAAAACUCAAGAGGGGAAUUUCUGGAAAUUCCUAUUAUCAUAUCACACUAUGAAGAAAUAAACUAGCAACUGUCAUAUAGGUCUUGCAAUCCUCAUUUUUAAGACCAAAAAAAACCCAUGUUACAUCAAUAAAAACAAGAUCCGAAUUAAGAAUUUCCAACAACAUUGCAAGCCAUGAUGAAGGUUUCUCAACAGAACUCAAUUUGGUUCUGUUAUCUUAUUAGAAUUAAACAUUUCUCUCAAAUGUUUAUUGGUAGGUAAGAUCACAUAAGUUAUAUACUGAGAAUAAUUCAUGUUAACUGUUCAGCUGGUGGAGUACUCACACUUCUUUAAGGCCACAUAUAUCUAUAUACAUUUAAGUAAUCUGCCACAGCCAGAAUUUUUUUUUUUUUUGAGACAGGGUCUCAUUCUGUCAUCCAGGCUGGAGGGCAAUGGCACAGUCUCAGCUCACUGCAGCCUCUACCUCCCAGCUUCAAGUGAUUCUCCCACCUCAGCCUCCUGAGUAGCUGGGACUACAGCUACUCGGGAGGCCAGGCAGGAGUAUUGCUUGAACCUGGGAGGCAGAGGUUGCAGUGAGCUGAGAUCGUGCCACUGCACUCCAGCCUGGUGACAGAGCAAGACUCCGUUAAAAAAAAAAAAAAAAACAGUUUUAAAAACCAUCUUUCUUUCUGUACCAGGGAGGAUAACAUUUCUUCUAAGAAUACAUAUGGAAAGCAGGUUCUCUACACCCACCAAUUUUAGGGGCCAGCAUAGUGGCUUCGUUAUGUGUAAUUCUGUAUCUUGCAUACAAAAGCAAACACACACUCAGGUCUGAUAAGUAAGCCCUUUAACAAACUCUUCUCUAUGGCCUUGAAAAAUACAGGACUAAGUCCCAGUGCGCUGGCUCACGCCUCCCAAAAGUGGCUUCCUAAAGACCAAAAUCCAAUACAUUUUGGCUUAAGUUUUUAAUAAAUGAAUGAUGAAAAAAGAGCAAAACAAAUGACAACUAUCAACAUAAAACAAACAAAAAAGCCUAAGUAAUCCUUAAUUUCAGACAAAACUAUAUUACUUUAAACUCUAGAUUAGCUUUAUUUUAGACAUAAUUUAAAGAGCUUUUAAGUACACAUCAACUUUCCCACUUAGUUCUAACCUCACAUUAGGUCUUUCCACUCUAGCAGUAAAGAAUGUACACUUUAAGUCAGGUAGCACAGGGUUUGAAUCCUGGCCUUGCCACUUCAUAGACAGGUGGCCAAUAGCCACAAAUAUGAAGUUACUUAACCUCAAUCUUUGAGUUCCUUAUAGGUAAAGUAGGUAGGAACAAUACUACCUACCUUGCAGGGUUGUAAACUACAUGAUAUACACAGAAUAUAAAAUGCCUCCUUAGUACAGAGCAUGGUGCAUAGUACUUACACUAUAUUAGUAGGUGUUACUAAUCUAUCAUUUUAAAAAAAAGCAUGCCAUGAAAAAAGAAACAGCAGAAUGUUUUCCACCCAUACUUCAUCUACACUAUUUUUAUUUUUCAAAAUAAAAUUCUAGAGCUGAAAAUCAGACUUUAAAAAAAAUCAGUUUUCAGGGAUCACCUUCUAGCUCCUCUUUACAUAAAGGACACAUUUGUCGUCUCUGUUCUUCAUGAGAAUUUCCCAGCUGUUGAUCUAAAUUGUCUUUAUUUUUUAAGACAAGGUCUCACUCUGUAGCCCAAGUUGUAGUACAGUGGCGUGAUCUCAGCUCACUGCAACUUCCACCUCCAAGGCUCAAGCGAUUCUCAUGCCUCAGCCUCCUGAGUAGCUGCGACUACAGGCAUGCGCCACCAUGCCUGGCUAAAUUUUUGUAUUUUAGUAAAGAUGGAGUUUCACCAUGUUGCCUAGGGUGGUCUCGAACUCCUGAGCUCAGACGAUCCGCCAGCCUCAGCUUCCCAAAGUGCUGGGAUUACAGGUAUGAGCGACAGUGCCCGGCUGAAAGUUGUUUUAAAAAAGUCACCUUUAGGGCUGGGCACUGUGGCUCACGCCUGUAAUCUCAGCACUUUGGAAGGCCGCGGUGGGUGGAUUACUUGAGGUCAGGAGUUCCAGACCAGCCUGGCCAACACGACAAAACCCUCUCUCUACUAAAAAUACAAAAACUGUUGGGGCGUGGUGGUAGCUGCCUGUAAUCCCAGCUACUUGGGAGGCUGAGGCAGGGAGAAUCACUUGAACCCAGAAGGCGGAGGUUGCAGUUUGCUGUGAUCGCGCCACCGCACUCCAGCCUGGGCGAGAGAGCUAGACUCUGUCUCAAAAAAAAAAAAAA